CCUUCCAUACUUUAACUUCCUCAAUCAGUGGUUUGCUGGUAACAACAGAUGUGCAAUCGCUCUUUACAUCUGAAACGCCCUCAUGCACACAGGCAAGCACAACAGCAGAAAGACACACACACACACACACACACACACACACACACACACACACACACACACACACACACACACACACACACACACACACACACACAAACCUUAAUCUGCCUAGGUGGAAUUGAGUUGGAAUGGCAUAGCAAAGCCCUUCACAUCUCUACAUCCUAUUAUCUGAUCUGCUUCCGUGCAGUGUUGACGCAAGACACGGCACGUUCAAUAAGAGUGAACUUCGAGCAAGGCAAAGCAUCCAGCGGCCCUUCAACAGAGGCGGGGGUUCAGUCGAUGGACUUCAAACUCUGCGGUUGUGUCGUAGGGGAGGUCGUUUGAACUAGCCGCUCUCGAGGAAAGCUGUACGCCUCCACACGGGAGGACAGGCGAUAUAGGCCUGUCCCGAACAGAUGCGGUUUGAAGGCGCACUGUACUACCGCUUUAUAUGUGGCCAAUAUCAGAUCCAUGUCUGAACUGGAAACAGACAGAACUGCAUGUGCAAUAAAAGAAAGUCAGCAUUUAAGUUUGAGCUGUGCGUUGUUGUGUUUAUUUGUGCUAGUAGCCUGUUGACACGUUGCAGACAUUUUCAGACUAAUGGAUGCUCCUUUUAAUCAACGACUUUAUUCCAUCAGGCGGCGUAGUGUUUGCCGCACUCUAGUGGUCUCUGACAGGCUACUACAACAAUGAUGUCCGUUUCAAUCCUUCAUGCACUGAAAGAUUACAGAAAUAUGAAGGCUGCGGUCUGGGUGGUGCCUUCAAAAAAUGAAUACUCAUCGGAAUAUUGUACGACGCAUUAGCCUAUGUUGAGAAAUACAAAUAUUGAAAUUACUUUUAAUCUUUGAACCCAAUUCCCUACGGAUGAUCGGGGCUUUAAUUAUCUGAAAUUAAAUGUGUCAGUGUAUGCAAAUGGAUGUUAGCAAUUGUUGGUGUAGACGCUGUUUUCUUAUGUGUUUUAACUAUUUGUACAUAUUAUUGGCUAUUGUUUUUAAUGUAAUUAGUUUUUAGUAGUAUGACAAAGCUUGAACUCCAUCAAUAAAGGAUUUAGCAAAUGCC